rnacentral:misc_RNA from 1 species
AAGGAGUCUACCGUCUGUGCGAGUGUGUGGAUUUAAAAUCCAUGUGCGUAAUGAAAGUGAUCAUAGCGACUAUGCGUUAACGUAUACUCAUCUGUGGCCGACCUUGAUCUUCGGUGAUGGGUUUGAGUAAGAGCAUAGCCGUUAGGACCCGAAAGAUGGUGAACUAUGCCUGAGUAGGGUGAAGCCAGGGGAAACUCUGGUGGAGGCUCGUAGCGGUUCUGACGUGCAAAUCGUUCGUCGAAUUUGGGUAUAGGGGCGAAAGACUAAUCGAACCAUCUAGUAGCUGGUUCCUUC